CUUUUCCUUUAGAGAUGACCCUUUUGGAUUUUGGUCCUCUCUUUUUGGGGAUAUCACCACAUACAUGUGUUUACUGUUAUUGUUGUGUUGAGUUGCCUUCGAUUUCAGGAGCACAAUCAAGUAGAGUGAAAAAGAUAAAACAAGUGUGUGUGUUUGAAUAAUAAGAACUGUUACUGAUUUACUGUUAUGAUUAUGGAUGUUUUGUCAAACAGUAGGGCGAUUCCCUCCUAACAAUGGUCAUUGUGAAUGCAUUCUCUAUUGAGUGCACUCAACCUGUUCGAUGAAAGUCCGCAACCAAUUAGCAGUUGAUGUAAUAAUUAAGCUCAAAGAAUCCACAUACAGUUUGUUGCAGUGCACAUUUGCCCUAUAACAUUCCCAAACAUGAUGUAAACAUAACUUGUUUGAUUGGAUGAUCAGAUACUCAAACUAUAAUCUUCCCAUACAUUUUGUUCCCCUAAAGCUGAGCUCCCCAACGGCACUGACUUUGGUUGCUGAUUGCAGGUUCACAUACAGAUGUGAAUGGCGGAUCAAAUUCCAACAUACCAACGGGGAAGCUACUCAGUUUACUGGUAUACUUGCUUGUUGGAGGUUGGUAAGAGGGAAUGCUUUACUAGCCAAGACUACGAUCCAUUAAACGCAGAUUCUUGGAUAAUUUAACGCUCUCCUCUCCAUGAAUCUCAUGUUCAAGUAGCAGUUUUUUGCUCCAAGAAACUUGGCACAGAGAUGAGAUUCCGAAGUGGGCAUCAUGACCACGGGGGCCUUUCUGCUUCUAAAGCUCCUUUCAUCAUCAUUGAUCUUUUCAAUCUACAGUCCAUCCAUAUUGACAUAGGGAAGGAGAGUACAUACUUUGCACGGAUUGAGUUAGGUGCUACUCUCGGAGAGUUGUGUUAUAAAAUUGCACAAAAGAGUAAGGCGCUACUCGGGAAUAUAUGGAUUCCAGUACUUGCUCACUUGGGAUGAUGACCAAGAAACUGAGAACUUAUUAGAUGGAUGACAAGGGUGUAUGUGUAGAGUGGCGCCAAAUGUUUCGAAGUCCCCAAGAGCUGCAUAUUUGAACUAUAGGGAUCUUGGGUUGGGGAAGAACAAUGCUCGUAAUACAAGCUAUGGACAAGCAAGCAUCUGGGGCUUGAAGUAUUUUAAGAGUGACUUAAGAGACUUGUUUAUGGGAAGGCCUUAGUUGAUCCUGAUAAUUUGUUUAGAAAUGAACAAGUAUCCUUGUGUUCCCAUCAGGGAAAGUAGAAUAUUAAAUAGAUUGGUUGGGCUUUUUGUUCAUCUUUCAAGCAUAUAUCAACUAACGAUAGAUAUUAGGCAGCCUCAACCAACGUUUACAAGUUCCUAACUUUGCUUGUAUCUCAAUAAAAGAAUUAUAACCUUCUUUAAAUAAAUGGAAAUUGUUUUCGACG